CCUCGCGCCGCAGGCGCCGCCGGCGCCCAGCUUGGCCGCGCCGCCCUCCUCGCCGCCGCCCCACUCCGCGUCCUGCGGCGGCGGCCGGCCGUCCAGCGAGAUGUUGCAUCUGAGUUGUGUCGCUGGAGCCAAGGCUAGUCUGCUCCUCUGCUUGGCCCUAUACUGGCUGUGGAAUAACAUUAUUCUCUGGCUGUGUACAUGGGAGUUCCUGCUGGCCGCAGCAAUAGGAGUGCCCCGCCAGCAAGGACAACGAAGAAGGGCAAGGCUGCUUUUGGAAAGCAGCUUGUGAUCUUGGGCACCUCAGGUCCAGGCCUCAAAGGACCAGAGCAUCUGCACCCUACUCUCUCACUGCCCAUGUCUCCCACUGGAUUAGGAGCUGGGGGUGAUGGAGUCUCGCUCUGUCACCCAGGCUGAAGUGUAGUGGUG